UACGUAGGGUCCGAGCGUUGUCCGGAGUUACUGGGCGUAAAGCGCGCGCAGGCGGCGGUGCUGGCCCGGCGUGAAAGCCCCCGGCUCAACUGGGGAGGGUCACGCGAUACUGAUCGACUCGAAGGCAGGAGAGGGUAGUGGAAUUCCCGGUGUAGUGGUGAAAUGCGUAGAUAUCGGGAGGAACACCAGUGGCGAAGGCGACUACCUGGCCUGUUCUUGACGCUGAGGCGCGAAAGCUGAGGGGAGCAAACGGGG
rnacentral:rRNA from 1 species